rnacentral:rRNA from 1 species
AGAUGUGAAAGCCCCGGGCUUAACCUGGGAGUGGCAUUUGAGACUGGCAGGCUAGAGUCUUGUAGAGGGGGGUAGAAUUCCAGGUGUAGCGGUGAAAUGCGUAGAGAUCUGGAGGAAUAUCGGUGGCGAAGGCGGCCCCCUGGACAAAGACUGACGCUCAGAUGCGAAAGCGUGGGUAGCAAACAGGAUUAGAUACCCUGGUAGUCCACGCCGUAAACGAUGUCUACUUGAAGGUUGGGAUCUUGAAUUCUGGCCUUCGGAGCUAACGCGUUAAGUAGACCGCCUGGGGAGUACGGUCGCAAGAUUAAAACUCAAAUGAAUUGACGGGGGCCCGCACAAGCGGUGGAGCAUGUGGUUUAAUUCGAUGCAACGCGAAGAACCUUACCUACUCUUGACAUCCAGAGAAGCCAGCAGAGAUGCAGGUGUGCCUUCGGGAGCUNUGAGACAGGUUCUGCAUGGCUGUCGUCAGCUCGUGUUGUGAAAUGUUGGGUUAAGUCCCGCAACGAGCGCAACUCUUAUCCUUGUUUGCCAGCACGUAAUGGUGGGAACUCCAGGGAGACUGCCGGUGAUAAACCGGAGGAAGGUGGGGACGACGUCAAGUCAUCAUGGCCCUUACGAGUAGGGCUACACACGUGCUACAAUGGUGCAUACAGAGGGAAGCAAGAGCGCGAGCUGGAGCGGAUCCCAAAAAGUGCAUCGUAGCCCGGAUUGGAGUCUGCAACUCGACUCCAUGAAGUCGGAAUCGCUAGUAAUCGUGGAUCAGAAUGCCACGGUGAAUACGUUCCCGGGCCUUGUACACACCGCCCGUCAUC